GAUUUAACUGAGUUUACUGGCAUUCUGUACGAGUCGUUUUGGCCAAUUUGGGCGAGACGGUUUGUUGACAGGGCCGGUUCGGCCAUUUGGGUUGUUGUAGAAUGAGGCAUGAAGGAUGCCGCCAUAGCUGACUGUAAAUUAAAAGAUGGUAUUGUCUCUUGCAGCAUACUCUGUCUACUAUUAACUUGUUUCAGAGUUUGUUGACAAAGUUCUAUUGUGUUUAUCAACAACAUG
rnacentral:lncRNA from 1 species